UGAAGAAUAAAUAAUUAUGGGUUGACUACAUCCCUGUGACUUCAGAGCAACAGAGAUGAGAACAGGUAAGGCUAAGCAAAGGGCCUGGAAACCUCUUCUGAAAAGAGCCAUCAGAUAUGUGAGUAAACUCGGGGUGUCUAGGAAGUGAAAAGGGGGCAGUUGCCUCUGUUUUGCCACAGCCAUAUGCAGAGAGUGAGUAGAAGGCCUUCCUAACAUGGAAAGGCCAUGUGAGAAUGUCAAAUGUAUAGGUUGCCCACUCAAAUUGCAAAGCAGUGGUAAAAUUCACACUCAAAUGGCUACAUAUGUAUGGCAUAGGAGUGACCACCAGGGAUGAAGUUUUGGGAAAAACAUCAUGGUGAACCUGAACGUUGGAUUCCUGUAUUGUCAGUCAGUCAGGAGCCAGUAUGGGUACCUGGUUUCAGAAGAUGCCAGACAACUGGAGGAAAGAGAAAGGUGAUUUACCUAACAGUGGAAGGAAGAACUUGGUGCAAAAGAAAAUCAACUGAAGAUUGGGAUUGUUGGUUGGGAACAGCACUGUCUCUAGGUAUCUGAAAGAUGAACAAGAGAUGAUUAGACUCAUUCUGCUUAGAGAUGAAAGACCAAAUAAAGACCCAUAUGUAGAAAUCCAUAGGAGGAGAUGCUAAUU
rnacentral:lncRNA from 1 species